GCUAGGAGUCCCAGCAGCUCUGGCAGCGGGAGGAGCGGCCACGGUCAGGCAGCCCAGCUUCAGGAAGGCUCUCCUCUCGCGGAGACACACUCCCGAGACACCCGGCACACGUGGCACACGUCCGCCCGCAGCCACGAUGCCCACGCGGAAGGUCAGCUCCGGGGCGGGGGCGAAGGAGGAGCCCAAGAGGAGAUGGGCGAGGUUGUCAGCUAAACCUGCUCCUGCAAAGUGGAAACGAAGCCAAAAAAGGCAGCAGGAGAGGAUAACUCUUCAGACAAAAAAGGACACACAAAAGGGAAAAGGGGAGCAAAGGGAAACCAGGCCGAGGUGCCGAACCAAGAGACUAAAGAUUUGCUUGCAGAAAACAGAGAAACUAAAAACAAGGAGAGCCCAGCGUCUGUUGAAGCAGGAGAGAAGGAAGCCAAGUCUGAUUAACAGCACACGCCUGGUCCUGUCCGUGUCCCUGUCUCCCUUCUUGUACAAUCCAGAGGAAUAUUUUUAUCAACUAUUUCGUAAAUCCAAGUUUUUUAGUAGCUCUAGAAACAUUUUUAAGAAGGACGGAAUCCCACCUCAUCCCAUUUUUUAAGUAUAAAUGCUUUUUUUUAAGAGGUGAAAUUUGCUGGUUGUUUAUUUUUUGGUACAACCAGAAAAUAGCGGAAUAUUGAAUAUGGGAGGCUUUGACUGUCUUGGGUGUCAGCUUAACAUUCCAAAGAUGGGGUAGCUUUUAUAUCCUAUAAUGCAAAGCAUACUAAAUGGCAAUUUGGAGUCAGUUGUG